CAGACAGUAGCUUACCCACUAAAGCACUCGACUUACAAUCAAGAGACGUUUAAAUAAACCUGCCUGA
rnacentral:tRNA from 1 species